GAACGCACAAUAUGUUUGGCACAAUUUUUACGCCGGAUGCCCUUCCUGACACAACCCUUCUCAGGGAGUGGGAUACGAACCCACAACCCAUGGUUUACCAAACCAGUGCUCUAACCACUGAGCUACGGGGCCUGACUUUUUGGAGGUGAGGAUCAUUGACCUGCGAGGUCACCUCCAGCAAAUCCGUCAUGGGGAUCACGCAGCUGAGCUCACCCAGGAAACACAGGAGAACGUGGAGCACAUCGGCCCAGCGGCCAACAGUCAGCAGCAGGAGUGACAACACAGUGAGACGUGUUGCCACAGACUUCAGGACUGCCUGGCUUCCUGGCAGAGCCUCUUCGUCUGUUUAAGGAAGAGAAAGUAUUGAUGAACACUUUACUACACAUCAUCUAUAAAGGUCCAUGCUAAUCUCUUUCCCACAGGCAUCAGUAAAUUUAAAAAAAAAGGAUAUUGACAACUGAUAUGCUGUUCUUGGCAUUAUGCUAAUUACAUAUAUCGAUUUUUAACAUCUGUUUUUGCAACUUGUUUGAUAGGCAGUGUCAUGUUUUUCCUAUGCGUUGUCUUCAGUGUUCAGUUUUUAAGUACUGUACAACAUCAUGGAACAAGCUCUCAAUCUAAUGCAAUGCAGUUCUACACUAAUCCAAGUACAAUCACGGACAGUUAAACCCAUCAAUUGGGUAAUGGGCCUAUUCAAGAAUUUAUGAUUAUUCCCAUUAGCAUUAACAUUACUAUGCUGAAAAAAUUUUGAAUUUAAUUAAUUUGCACAUAUAGCACAGUAGCACAUGAUUAAAUUGUGGUAUACUGAUGUAUAUCAUUUCUUUUUUCUCACACACACAGUCCAAAAACAUCUCUACUGUCUAUAAUUAUAAAGAAAUGGAGCAAUUAAGGUACUGGAUAUAUGUUGAUUGAGACAAAGCACUUUUGUUUUUAAGUCUUCGCUGCAUGUUUUUGUUCUUUUACAUAGGCAUUUAUGUCGUUGUCUUCAGUCUUUGUAAUCCAUAUAAUUUCAAGGGUAAUGUAAAUGGAAUUUAAAAUAAAGUACAUUAUGAUUU